UUCCUACGGGGCGCAGCAGUGGGGGAUAUUGCACAAUGGGGGGAACCCUGAUGCAGCGACGCCGCGUGGGUGAAGGAGCGUUUCGGCGCGUAAAGCCCUAUCGGCAGGGAAGAAGGAGGACGGUACCUGACUAAGAAGCCCCGGCUAACUACGUGCCAGCAGCCGCGGUAAUACGUAGGUGGCAAGCGUUGUCCGGAAUUACUGGGUGUAAAGGGAGCGCAGGCGGGAAGCCAAGUCAGCUGUGAAAACUACGGGCUUAACUUUUA
rnacentral:rRNA from 1 species